rnacentral:rRNA from 1 species
GACGAACGCUGGCGGCGUGCUUAACACAUGCCAGUCGAACGGAAAGGCCCUGCUUUCGUGGGGUGCUCGAGUGGCGAACGGGUGAGUAACACGUGAGUAACCUGCCCUUGACUUUGGAAUAACUUCAGGAAACUGGGGCUAAUACCGGAUAGGAGCUCCUGCUGCAUGGUGGGGGUUGGAAAGUUUCGGCGGAUGGGGAUGGACUCGCGGCUUAUCAGCUUGUUGGUGGGGUAGUGGCUUACCAAGGCUUUGACGGGUAGCCGGCCUGGGAGGGUGACCGGCGACAUUGGGACUGAGAUACGGCCCAGACUCCUACGGGAGGCAGCAGUGGGGAAUAUUGCACAAUGGGCGGAAGCCUGAUGCAGCAACGCCGCGUGCGGGAUGACGGCCUUCGGGUUGUAAACCGCUUUCGCCUGUGACGAAGCGUGAGUGACGGUAAUGGGUAAAGAAGCACCGGCUAACUACGUG